rnacentral:rRNA from 1 species
UACGUAGGGUGCGAGCGUUAUCCGGAGUUACUGGGCGUAAAGGGCGUUCAGGCGGGUGAUUAAGUUCGCUAUGAAAGCGCCGGGCUAAACCCGGCGAGGCUGGCGGAUACUGGUCAUCUGGAGUGAGUCAGAGGAAGGUAGAAUUCCGCGUGUAGUGGUGAAAUGCGUAGAUAUCUGGAGGAACACCGGUGGCGAAGGCGGCAUCCUGGACCGACACUGACGCUGAGGAGCGAAAGCCAGGGGAGCAAACGGG